rnacentral:tRNA from 1 species
GUGGUUGUAGCUCAGCUGGCAGAGCAUCAGAUUGUGGUUCUGAGGGUCGUGGGUUCGAACCCCAUCAUCCACC